rnacentral:rRNA from 1 species
UUGGUUAAGUUAUUAAGGGCGCACGGCGAAUGCCUUGGCACUAGGAGCCGAAGAAGGACGGCACUAACACCGAUAUGCUUCGGGGAGCUGUAAGUGAGCUUUGAUCCGGAGAUUUCCGAAUGGGGGAACCCACUACGUUUAAUCGCGUAGUAUCUUGACGUGAAUACAUAGCGUCUUGAAGGCAGACCCAGGGAACUGAAACAUCUAAGUACCUGGAGGAAGAGAAAGAAAAAUCGAUUCCCUGAGUAGCGGCGAGCGAAACGGGAAGAGCCCAAACCAAGAGGCUUGCCUCUUGGGGUUGUAGGACACUCUAUACGGAGUUACAAAAGAGCGAGUUAGAUGAAGCGACUUGGAAAGGUCCGCCAGAGCAGGUAAAAGCCCUGUAGUCGAAAGUUCGUUCUCUCCUGAGUGGAUCCUGAGUACGGCGGAACACGUGAAAUUCCGUCGGAAUCCGGGAGGACCAUCUCCCAAGGCUAAAUACUACCUAGUGAC